UACGAAGGGGGCUAGCGUUGCUCGGAAUUACUGGGCGUAAAGGGCGCGUAGGCGGAUGUUUAAGUCAGAGGUGAAAGCCCAGGGCUCAACCUUGGAACUGCCUUUGAUACUGGGCAUCUUGAGUACGGGAGAGGUGAGUGGAACUCCGAGUGUAGAGGUGAAAUUCGUAGAUAUUCGGAAGAGCACCCGUGGCGAGGGCGGCUCUCUGGGACGGUACUGACGCUGAGACGCGAAAGCGUGGGGAGCGAACAGG
rnacentral:rRNA from 1 species